rnacentral:miRNA from 1 species
CCUCCCAGGCAGGAUUUGCUCCUCGGAGAGAGCUUGUCCUUGCAUAUUCAUUAUAAUCAUACAAACACACCAAGGAUAACCUCUCCCCAAGUAGCAAACGGAAGCACCGGCGG